rnacentral:lncRNA from 1 species
UAUUGUAGUUUAAUUGUGGUCCUAUCUGAAGAAAAGCUGGACUUGAAGCCAGGAUUUGGGGCAUAAGGGUAUGACAGUGGCAAGCCCCUGUGUCAGCAGCUUUCACAGAACAAGGAGAAAGGUAGAGACAAAUUUACUUUCCAUUUCUGAUAACAACGGAGUCAGUCUUCCCUGCUGCCGAGGAUUUUUUGAAACAGCGUGAAUACUGCUCCUUCGCAUUUCUGAGAGAGGGCAGAACCGGGUCAUCGUGUUGCUUGACAGAGGGCCAUGAUAACUGUCUACAGAUAUUUAAAGGGUGUAAAUGAAGACUUGAUUGCUUUAAGAUAUCUUGGUACUAACUUCGUUUAUUAAAGAUGCAAAAGAUUUGGGUGAGGUACUUCUUGGAUGUUUCAGAAAACAACUACAAGAAUCUUUUCAUUUUGAGGACUGUCCUCUGAAUCUCUGAUGAAAGCAAAUAGGAGAUACAUACCCAUGGAACAAUACAAAUAAAUAGAUAACAUCACAAAUAUUUCAAUAUUUCAAUACUCAAUAGAGUACAUUGAUAUCAUCAAGCUUAAUCAACCCUGCACAGUUUAUUGCUUCUGACUGCCUUGCAGACAUAGGUCACCGAAAACUAUGUUUGACCUGUGCCCCUGAUUUUACCCCUAAAGACUCCAGCUUUAGCAGAGGCUGGUGACUUUUGUUUUCCAGGACAGUCUAUUUUCCUGGGUGAUAUAAUUAAAAUAUGAUAAGAUUUUUUUUUUUGAAGGACAAUAGGGAGUCUUUGUCCCAAAAAGAAAAUCUACACCUUCAGGUGUGCCUGUGGCCACUGCAUCAGGACCCCGCCCUUCACACGCGUUAUUCCAUUCUGAAAAUGUCCGAACACUUUCUUAUUUUCCAUGUCCCAGUCUUUAAACUGGAUUGAAGGAGGAAGUUGAAGCUACAGCAUUUGAUGAGAGUGGUAAUGAGGGUGGCAUGUGCAGUUCAACUGUAGCUUCUUACUAUGUAGAGUAUCCGUGUUCUAAAGCGAAGCCUUGUGUGAUCACAGUUCCAGAAAACUGAGGAAUUCAAUGACUCAGAUACUCAGUAACAAUUAAAAAGUUCUUCAUUUAGUGUUUCAGCAGAGCGGGGAGGAGACAGAUUUCCUCCUGUGCAGCCCUGCUUAAGGCGGCCAGUCCCUG